rnacentral:rRNA from 1 species
UACGUAGGGUGCGAGCGUUGUCCGGAAUUACUGGGCGUAAAGAGCUCGUAGGUGGUUUGUCGCGUUUGUCCGUGAAAACUCACAACUCAAUUGUGGGCGUGCGGGCGAUACGGGCAGACUGGAGUACUGCAGGGGAGACUGGAAUUCCUGGUGUAGCGGUGGAAUGCGCAGAUAUCAGGAGGAACACCGGUGGCGAAGGCGGGUCUCUGGGCCGAUACUGACGCUGAGGAGCGAAAGCGUGGGGAGCGAACAGG